GCGGCGCAACAGAUGACGGCGCGUUUUGCGUGAGGAAAGUCCGGGCUGCUGCCAGACAAAGUUCCGCCUAACAGGCGGCUAGGGCAACCUAAGGGAAAGUGCAACAGAAAGCAAACCGCCGAUUUUUCGGUAAGGGUGAAACGGAAGUGUAAGAGACUACCGUCGCUCUCGGCAACGGGAGCGGACAUGUAAACCCAACUUGCAGCAAGAAGCGCCUGGUUAGAGUUUGGCAUUUUUUGAGCGCUUUGCAUGAACCGUUCAGUGAUGAGCGGACAAGAGAAAUCGUCAUUCGCGACAGAACCCGGCUUAUCGUUGCGCCGCAAAU
rnacentral:RNase_P_RNA from 1 species